GACGAACGCUGGCGGCGUGCCUAAUACAUGCAAGUCGAACGCAGUGGGGACGGGUGAGUAACACGUGGGUAACCUCCCAUCAGAGGGGAGAAAACUUGGAAACAGGUGCUAAACCGAUACUGAUGGAUGGACCCGCGGGGCAUUAGCUAGUUGGUGAGGUAACGGCUCACCAAGGCCACGAUCCCUAGCCGUCCGGAGAGGAUGGUCGGCCACACUGGGACUGAGACACGGCCCAGACUCCUACGGGAGGCAGCAGUAGGGAAUCUUCGGCAAUGGGCGAAAGUCUGACCCAGCAAUGCCGCGUGAGUGAAGAAGGUUUUCGGGUCGUAAAGCUCUGUUGUUAGGGAGGCGUUAUCUAACCAGAAAGCCACGGCUAACUACGUGCCAGCCGCCGCGGUAAUAC
rnacentral:rRNA from 1 species